rnacentral:rRNA from 1 species
CCUACGGGUGGCAGCAGUGAGGAAUAUUGGUCAAUGGACGCAAGUCUGAACCAGCCAUGCCGCGUGCAGGAAGACGGCUCUAUGAGUUGUAAACUGCUUUUGUACGAGGGUAAACUCAGAUACGCGUAUCUGUCUGCACGUAUCGUACGAAUAAGGAUCGGCUAACUCCGUGCCAGCAGCCGCGGUAAUACGGAGGAUUCAAGCGUUAUCCGGAUUUAUUGGGUUUAAAGGGGUCGUAGGCGGUCGGAUAAGUUAGAGGUGAAAUCCCGAGGCUCAACUUCGGAAUUGCCGUUGAUACUGUUCGGCUAGAGAGUAGUUGCGGUAGGCGGAAUGUAUGGUGUAGCGGUGAAAUGCUUAGAGAUCAUACAGAACACCGAUUGCGAAGGCAGCUUACCAAGCUACUUCUGACGUUGAGGCACGAAAGCGUGGGGAGCAAACGGGAUUAGAUACCCGGGUAGUC